rnacentral:miRNA from 1 species
UAUCUGUGUGUGUGUGUAUGUGUGUGUGUGUGUGCGCACACACACACACACACACACACAGAGA